GAUGGUGAUACACAGCUGCUUUGAAAGAUAAUAAACGAAACCAUGCCCAAAUGAGCUAUGCUUCUGUUGUGCAGAGACAACAGGCUGCCUCGCUAAACGAUGCACACCUGUAACUCACGUGACCCUGGUUAUUAUUGAAACAAGAACGAGGGCGUCGUGCCUUUAUAAGACUGCGUUAAUAGUUCCGUAGAGUUAUCCCUUCCGUUGUUGUUUAUUGAUUGUUAAACAUGGCGUCAUUUGCAAAGGUGGUUGUGUGUGUCCUCAUUGCUUGUGACUGUAAUGCAUUCGGUUUUCCGAAGAGAGAUGUGAACUUAAAGGCCUCUGCAGUUGACCGCCAAAGUGAUGAUGUGGUUGUCACCACAACACCCGUUCCCCACAACCAGACCACCUCUGCCCCUACUGAAGCUGGUGGUGGUGCAAGUGAAGAUGCUGUGGCUACUACCCCAGCACCUAAUCCACACAACCAGACAACUUCUGCACAAACUGAAGUUACUGAUGGAGCAAGUGAAGAUGCUGUGGCUACCACCCCAACACCAAAUCCCCCAACUACAUCUGACCACACUGCAGCUACCGAUGAUGCAAGUGAGGGUGCUGUGGCUGCCCAAACUGGAGCUACUGUAUCCCAUACGACUGAAGUCUGAUUCGACUGCUCCUCUGGUCACAAUGACCUGUCUGGACUUUUUGCCUCUACAUGUUGACUGCAAUAAAGGACAGAUUUGUAUUUUUUAAUCA
rnacentral:lncRNA from 1 species